rnacentral:rRNA from 1 species
GACGAACGCUGGCGGCGUGCCUAACACAUGCAAGUCGAGCGGGAUCCAUCUGGUGGCAACACCGGGGAAGAUCUAGCGGCGAACGGGUGAGUAACACGUGAGAAACCUGCCCCGAACUUCGGGAUAACACGGGGAAACCCGUGCUAAUACCGAAUACCCUCUACCGGUCGCAUGGCCGGAAGCGGAAAGAUUCAUCGGUUCGGGAGGGUCUCGCGGCCUAUCAGCUAGUUGGCGGGGUAACGGCCCACCAAGACAUCGACGGGUAGCUGGUCUGAGAGGCCGAUCAGCCACACUGGUACUGAGACACGGCCCAGACUCCUACGGGAGGCAGCAGUGGGGAAUCUUGCGCAAUGGGCGUAAGCCUGACGCAGCAACGCCGCGUGCGGGAUGAAGGCCUUCGGGUUGUAAACCGCUUUCAGCAGGGAAGAAAAUGACGGUACCUGCAGAAGAAGCCCCGGCCAACUACGUGCCAGCCGCCGCCGUAA